AUUUAAAUAGUUUAAAAAAAAACAUUAAUUUGUGGCAUUAAAAAUGGUAACUAACCCUACCUCUAAAUC
rnacentral:tRNA from 1 species